CCCGGCAACCGGCGGCGAUGCGGACCUCUCCCGGGCUCGGGGACCACCCGCGGCCCCCGACGGCUCUCGGAGCCGGCCAGGGUGGGGGCCUCAGGGCCAGGGUGGGCCUCGCAAACUUGGACGUUUACGUUCUCGGCUUCCUCCCAGCCUAGGCAGUGAGUGCAAACUCGAGCCGUCCGCGCUAACGAGCCCGGGCGACUGCGGCGAGCGCGGGUCAGCGGCGCGGGUCUGGGGUCGCGAGUGGCUCAGGAGCGCGGCCCGAGGGAGCUCCGCCUGCCGUCGUCAGGCGCGGUCCGCAGUUCAGACCCAGGAUCCGUAAGGCCGCGGGGAGGACUCCCAAGACCCCAACCCCGUGCUUCCCCUUCGGAAUCUAAGCUCCCAGGCAGGAAAGAGUUAUCUACACUCGCUGCCUCUGCUCCAGUUCACUUCUCGACCUGGGCAAAUCCUGGACAAUUGGAAGGACUUCUCGGUCGUCGUUUUCACCUCACAGGUUCUCCUGGUGCCUGCUUGGUGCCAGGCACUGGGGUGACCCUAGAGGACUGCACGGAUAGCCCCUAGGGUCCUAGCACUUCCUGGAGAUGAGCGACGUGCAGACACCUAUGUGCUUACUUGGGAAGUGGGAUUGAACCCAGGGAGCUCUACCACCGCGCUGCAUCCCCAGCCCUUCAUAUUUUUUUCUUUUGAGGCAGGGUCUCACUGGCAGCAGUAGCUGGGAACACAGGCAUGCUGGGAGUCUAGGUGGGUGUCCCCCUGCACAUCUUAAAUACAGCUGUCCUCCUCAAGA